GGAUCCUCCUGCCUCAGCCUCCUGAGUAGCUGGGACUACAGAGGAUCGCCAGAGAGAGGUGGACUGCCCCAGAUCUGCAGUGAGAAAUUCACCAGGCAUUCAGCAAGCUGGGGGAAGAGAUGCUUUAGAACUGCAUGCGAGGUCAUCAAAUACAAAGCUGUCACACUAUAGGUAAGAGUGUGUUCUGAAGAGGACUUGCAGAUACUUCCUGUAAUUUAACUCCCGGAACAACCUUUAAUACUCCUGUUAUAUAAAGUGUAGACAAUACAGAUUAUUGUGGAAGUCUUACAUACUGUGAUCAAAGCAUUCUACCUUUUUGGGGAGGCAGAGGAAGGCACCAGCUAUAUGAAUAAUCUGUGUCUAAAGAAUGUUUCUGGAAAAUUACUAGGAUCCACAAAUUUUUCCUCCAUUCAUUAAAUAGCAACAGAGUACCUGUAUUUUUUUCCCCAGCACAGGGCUAGGAAAUGAGGAUAAAUAAAAAAUGUUCUGUCCUUACCUUAA